GUCGACUCUCUCCAGUACAGAGAUGUCUCUAGGGAGGAGCCCACAAGAGGACACACCAAACACUAUCUGUCUCCUUCCCUCUGGUUUUGCCUGUAUCCCAAAAACAUCUUCAGUCUGUGUGGAUAGAUUGCCCUUAAAGUAAUGCAGUGACUCAAUCCCACACAGACAGCUGAGAAACACCCUCGAGACUUUCUCCAGAGGACAUCUAGAUAUAACACUCACCAGAAGGGCAUCUGUAGAACAUGGAGUUUACCACUGAAGGGAACUCAGAAGACCUUCAUCAAAGACAGUGAGGCAAUCAGAAAGCUGUUGUCGGUUAUUUUAUUAAAGCACAGCAACUUCAUUCUUUAUAUAUUCUCAGUAUCACCCAGUGAGAAUUCUCUGGAACUAUAUGAGCACCAAUGACUAUCUUUGCUUCACUCUUCAUCCUCCUUCCUUUGCAGUUUUUCUUAACACAAGUUAUCUGUUACCCCUCAGAGCAUCUUUCUCCUCUACCAGAACCAAUGAUAACAUAAAGGCAUUCCUGUUCCUAAAGAAAACUCUUCAGGGAACUCCAACUGUAUACAUACUCAGGGCUAGCUCACAGAGGAAAUUUGUUGUUUGCAGGUUCUGAUUGGUAAGAUCCCCACCUGAGGUGCAGAGGUAGCUGAGUGCCUGCGUGCAGGGAGCAGAGCCAGCCGGGCAGAAGGGCCAGGGCAGAGCUGUUUGAACCAGGCUCCGAGUGAUGCUGCGCUGUCUCAUGUGGCUUCACCACUUUGAUCUCUGAGAGCUCAGUUUCCUACAUCACACCACACACUACAGGCUAUGUACAAGCCCUUGCAAGCCAAGAAAGCACCCUAAUUAACAGCCAAACAACAGUCACUACUAGAAAGAAGUUGACUGAUUCAAAUAUCAAGCCAAGAUUUAACAGGAAUCCUGUGCUGUAUGUGCUAUUUAAUAAAAAAGGUUUGUGUCCUAUUUUCCACCAUUGCCUACAACACUCUGUAAACACCUGGCCACAUGCUUUGCUUUUUAAGAGUAACUGUAACAAAGGCUUCUUUUUGAAUCUAGCUUCAGUAUUGGAUCAUAAAUAUUGGAUGAUAAAUAUUGGAUCAUUAAAGUUGUUCUGUUGCUGCACUUCAUAGCUCAUCUCAGUUAGAAAAUUGCAUUGACAGCAGCUUAGGAGUGGAUGAAUUUUCAGUCCUCUAUUUUCCUUUUCAGGAAAAUACAUACUUCUACACAUGAU